rnacentral:rRNA from 1 species
UACAUGGGGUGCAAACGUUGCUCGGAAUUAUUGGGCGUAAAGCGCACGUAGGCGGUUUGUUAAGUCGGAUGUGAAAUCCCUCGGCUCAACUGAGGAAGUGCAUCCGAAACUGGCAGGCUUGAGUACUAAAGAGGGUCGCGGAAUUCCCGGUGUAGAGGUGAAAUUCGUAGAUAUCGGGAGGAACACCGGUGGCGAAGGCGGCGACCUGGGUAGAUACUGACGCUGAGGUGCGAAAGCGUGGGGAGCAAACAGGG